GACGAACGCUGGCGGCGUGCUUAACACAUGCAAGUCGAACGGUGAAGCGCCUUCCUUUUUGGUGGGUGUGGAUGAGUGGCGAACGGGUGAGUAACACGUGAGUAACCUGCCCCCUUCUUCUGGAUAACCGCAUGAAAGUGUGGCUAAUACGGGAUAUUCUGGGUCUGUCGCAUGAUGGGUCUGGGAAAGAUAUUGUUUCGGUGGGGGAUGGGCUCGCGGCCUAUCAGCUUGUUGGUGGGGUGAUGGCCUACCAAGGCGGUGACGGGUAGCCGGCCUGAGAGGGUGGACGGUCACACUGGGACUGAGACACGGCCCAGACUCCUACGGGAGGCAGCAGUGAGGAAUAUGGCACAAUGGGCGGAAGACUGAUGCAGCGACGCCGCGUGAGGGAUGGAGGCCUUCGGGGUGUGAACCUCUUUCGCCAGUGAAGCAGGGCUGCCUCGUUUGUGGGUGGGUUGACGGUAGCUGGAUAAGAAGCGCCGGCUAACUACGUG
rnacentral:rRNA from 1 species